UGUCAAGAGUCUUUGGCACCGUUUUGGUGAGCAGAUUUCUUUUGCCUUUUGAAAGGUGAUGGAAAUG
rnacentral:sRNA from 1 species